rnacentral:rRNA from 1 species
UACGUAGGUGGCAAGCGUUGUUCGGAAUUAUUGGGCGUAAAGGGCGCGUAGGCGGUCUUGUAAGUCAGCUGUGAAAGCCCUGGGCUUAACCUGGGAAUUGCAGUCGAUACUACUCAGCUAGAGUAUGGGAGAGGGUAGUGGAAUUCCCGGUGUAGCGGUGAAAUGCGUAGAUAUCGGGAGGAACAUCAGUGGCGAAGGCGGCUACCUGGCCCAAUACUGACACUCAGGUGCGACAGCGUGGGGAGCAAACAGG